rnacentral:lncRNA from 1 species
CCAAAUGGUACUUGAACUGCAGAGUAAUCUGUGGAAAGUUAGUCAUUUAGCCUUUUUCUUUUCUUUUCCAGAAUCUGAAGAGAGUUUACUGUGUAAUUGAUCCUAUCAAAGAUGACUUCAGUUCUGCAGCUGGCAUCUAACAGUUCAGUGACAACUUUUUUUUUUCUUCCUCUCCAGCUUUAUUCUCUUCAGAGCUAACACAGUAUUGGUUUCAUGUGACAUGGCUCACUUAAUAUGCAGUGGAGAAACAGAACUACAAAGAAUAGAAGAUAAGGUGAUGCAACAUACAGACACCUGUAGAUGCAUCAUAAAUGAGAAUGUAGAUACUUCUGUCUGUCUGGGGGUAUAUUUCCAAGAUUUAUGA